AAAAUUAAAGAUAUACAAAUUCCACAGAAAAAAUGGCAUUUAACAACUAUCGAUCCUAUCUUCUCUUUGUUUCAUGCAUUGCUUUGGUCUUGUUUUCAAGAUUGGUUACUAGUUUGGGGACUCCAGCAAUAGUUUUAGAUGAAUCAUGCGCCCCGGGGUCGCCAGAUGCACAGUGUUGUUCUGGGCUUUGUUCUCCUACCUGCGAUCAAGACUGUAAGGGCAAGGGAUUUUCAUUUGGUGGAUUUUGUGAUACUCUAGGUGUUGAUUACCUAUGUUGUUGUUUUAAGUAAUGACUUCUGUUCCUCAAAAAUAUACUCUAGGUGUUGAUUACCUAUGUUGUUGUUUUAAGAAAUGACUUAUGUACGUCAAAAAUAUGAAUAUAAGGUUGUUCAUCAAACUCUUAGUUUUAUAAAAUAUAAAUUUUAAUGAAUAUAAUAGAUGAUGUAUUUGCCCCCACUUCCAAAUAUUUCUGUAUCCCCCAAUGUCCACAAUCCAACUGCAAUUUAAAAUCAUUGUUAUCACUCCAAGUGUAUAUGACCUAUGAUUUUAUUUACGAAAUUGUUGAAUAUU